rnacentral:lncRNA from 1 species
AACCAUGGAAUAAACAGUGCAAGUUUCGCACUAGCAAUCGUCUUGCCCCUGCCUGGUCGCCAUGGUCUACCGGUCGCCUGCAGCCCGCCGGCAACGCCACGCUGCCCAGUAGUAACGCCGGUCGAGCUUCGAUAGGAAGGC